rnacentral:lncRNA from 1 species
GUCUAAAUGUGAUUUGCCGUGCCCUGUUAAAUAGCUGUUGGACUUCCACCUCCAGGCAUGUGGUGGUGAAUCAGAUGGAAAUUGUUUGACAUAGCACCUUUGACUGCUUUACCAACCAAUAACUUCUCACAGCUUAGACCCCAAAAGAGGUGACAAGGACAAAUUGUUAUUACAGAUCAUUAAAUCAACACCUGGUACCCAUUUGCAGUUGAUUUUAGCCAACUCUGAUUUUUGUCAAGCUCCAACAGGAUGUGGCACAUUUGUCUAUUCACCUGCUUUUUCCUGCUCUUUGUGUUCUGUGUGUCCCUUGUCCGUGUAGGCUGGACGUGGAUGGAGACUGUUCUAAUUUUCCAACCACUCCAAUGAUCUUGACCUUCUGUCCUGUCGCACCUGUGCCUCUUCAACUCAUUACACCCCAGCAGUUUUGGAGUGUGGUUCACAGUUCCCAUCAUCUUGGGAUCCAGAUGAGCAAACACAACUCCGUGGAAGCGGUGACCUUUUUACAGAUUUCCUUAAAAAAAAGGAUACUUGGAAAGGCUUUGAAACCCUCCAGCGAUGGCGUGAUGGGUGAACUUGUAGCAUCAUCUCCUCUUCAACACCGACCGUAAAUCACCGGAGACGGAAGGAAUGUUGCUUCUGAAGAACAAACAGUCCCACUUCCACCUGUUCCACUGUCUAAUUGACACUGACUGGAUGGCAUCACUCAGCAAGAGACCCUUAAUGAACAAACUGCUGCUGGACCACUGACUGUGCUAAGCUAGCUCUGGGCUUGGAGUGAUGGGGGCAGGCACUGUGAACUGUUCCCCUCCCAUCCCUCAGCUUUCCUGGGGAGGAAGCCAGGUCUUUCAUCCCCACUCAGGCUCCCUGCCAACAGAACAGUGAAUAAUUCAGCACCUUCUGGACAGAUCAUUUAUAACAAAAUAUCUGCUUAUUCAACAGAUUGAUGUCAGCAUAUAGCACCACGUGGACAGGUUUGUAUACCUUGACAUGGAAAAGAAAGACUCUGAGCUGGGGAUGGGAGUGCGCAGAUGGUUUUACCUUAUGUAAAAUCCAUAUGAGCAAAGGAUUAUCACACACAUCAUCAGUUACGCAAUUGGUCUUUCUAUUUUGUUGGUUUAGUUUUAUAUAGUCAUGUAUUUGAAGAAUGAGCAAACUGUAGAUGUACAAGACUCUCUCAAUGUAAUGAGAAAAAUUAUUUGCUCCUAUUAAAUAAAGGAGAUAAAUUGGUCUCACCUCAUAAAGCAGAA